rnacentral:tRNA from 1 species
UGCGGAGUAGAGCAGUGGUAGCUCGUCGGGCUCAUAACCCGAAGGUCAUAGGUUCAAAUCCUAUCUCCGCUA